CUUUCUCUUAGGUACUAAUUUAAGAAGUUUCCCAAGUAGCUAGAUGGUGAGACUCUUCCAGGUCGCAGGGGUGGAAAUGGGGAGUGAGAAGAAGCAAUAAAGCUGAGCAGGUCACAGGAACUACAGGAACCUCUUUGUAGAUCUGCCCCUCAUUUAGAGUUGCUAGGCUUUGAGAUGGGUAUCUUGGUUGCAUCCUCUGAGGAGAGGAGCAUCUCGCUCAGCCAUUCUUCCCUGAAUCACUACAUGCUAUGCAGGGUGUGUGGAUGAAUCCCUGAAAAUGAAAUGUGAGCAAAAGUCAGACACACAGUGCCUCAUAUGAAGUCACUGUAAGGGCUUCUGCUUUUCUGUGGGAAAGAGACUGGCCAGCUUCAGUAGAGAUCAUGACUUAGAAACGGCAGUCACAAGCUAGAAGAAACUUACGUCCUGAGUUCUUGAAUCAGUAAAUGGUUUCAGCCCAAGCAUAAAAAUGCAUAUUCUCUGGAGAAAACACAGAUGAACAGCCCAAAGGAGGACUGCUUGGCUACAUGGAUUUCAACAUAUUUUCUAGCAAAAUCAUACAUACCCAAAAGGAGAUUCUGGCAAUUUUGGAUGGCAUGUCGAUAGGAGGAAUUCCCAGGAGGACUCUGGAAUGCUCAUGAAUUAUUGGGUUAUAGCAGUAAACAUAGUAGGCAUACUUUUUCAAUAGUCAUAACAAAGUAUGAUCUUUGUAACAUAUUUUGUGUAAUAAGUAAUACAAGUGUAAUAUAAAACAGGUGACUAAUAUUGCUUCACUAUUUCAGUAUACCAUAUGUGAUAAGUA